rnacentral:rRNA from 1 species
UACGUAGGAACCAAGCGUUGUUCGGAUUUACUGGGCGUAAAGGGCGCGUAGGCGGCGCGGUAAGUCACUUGUGAAAUCUCUGAGCUUAACUCAGAACGGCCAAGUGAUACUGCAGUGCUAGAGUGUGGAAGGGGCAAUCGGAAUUCUUGGUGUAGCGGUGAAAUGCGUAGAUAUCAAGAGGAACACCUGAGGUGAAGACGGGUUGCUGGGCCAACACGUGACGCUGAGGCGCGAAAGCCAGGGGAGCAAACGGG